rnacentral:lncRNA from 1 species
GCCCCUAAACAAAUAUCUUAACUAGUUCAGUGAUAAUGGACGUCAUCAUGGUCAUACUGAACUCCGAAUUAUACACAGCAAACUAAUAGUAAAAAUCAUACAAGACUAAUAAAGGCCAGAUGCUCCUGACAUGCAGCUAACAUAUAUAUAAUAAACUCAUCAUAGAAACCAGGAUUAAAAUUUUAUAUUUACGCCAGACGCGCG